ensembl:snoRNA SCARNA8 small Cajal body-specific RNA 8
UGGGAGACUGAUACACAAAUAGAGCUUAAAAAUCCGCUCUAAUUGUCACAAGUUCCUCCCUAUAGUAAAACUGCCUUCUGAUGACCGGGACGAAUUGAGGGAAAUUGUAACGGACAGAUACGGGGCAGACAACA